rnacentral:rRNA from 1 species
UACGUAGGGGGCAAGCGUUAUCCGGAUUUACUGGGUGUAAAGGGAGCGUAGACGGCCAUUUAAGCCAGAUGUGAAAGCCCGGGGCUCAACCCCGGGACUGCAUUUGGAACUGUAUGGCUGGAGUGUCGGAGAGGCAGGCGGAAUUCCUAGUGUAGCGGUGAAAUGCGUAGAUAUUAGGAGGAACACCAGUGGCGAAGGCGGCCUGCUGGACGAUGACUGACGUUGAGGCUCGAAAGCGUGGGGAGCAAACAGG